UAUGAUGUAUGAGGCCCUAGUUUCC
rnacentral:piRNA from 1 species